CUGGUGGAAACUGACGAGGAAUGCGCCGGAAAAGGUUGGGCUUGACUGAAACACCUUGUCUGAAGACAGUUCUGCUCCAAAUGGCUAUUACCUUCCUCCCAAGACCAGUGGAACAGCCAAGGCAGUAGAAGCAUGAGAGCAAGCAAGCUUAAUCCAUGGGACACGGGUUCGAGCCCUGGUCUGGGAAGAUCCCACAUGCCGUGGAG